rnacentral:ncRNA from 1 species
GAAAAAAGCGCCGGGACUGCCUGCGGGCAGUUGACGAGGUGGGGGAGGAUCGAACCAUUCGGCGGAUGCCCCCUGCGCAUUGACGCCUGGCCAUGAAGCGGAGGAGAGAAAAAGGGCGGGUGACCGCCGUGACAA